AGCGACACCUGGUUUCUACGCUCAGCAACAUUAUUGGCACUUUUAAUUAUAUUGGCCAAUUAUAUUAGUCCCGGUUACUGGAUAAUUGUCAAACAAGAAUCUACAGGUCGAGCAAGUCUCGUAAAUUUCACGAUUGCGAGCCACGCUUCACGCAACCGUGUUUGCGUACUUGUGUUUCGAGUUGCGUGGUCGUGCGGAGUUAUAUUUACCAAAUUUCAUAGAAGAGUGGGUGGGGCCAAAUUUAAAUAUAAUCGUUUCUACUGAUUCAUAAUAAUAAUAUGUAGGUAUACUAUUCUCAAUAUGGUUACUGGGUGUAAAAGAUAAAUCUUAUUCUAUCUGUUCUUCAUGAGUUUUAGAUAAUUUUAGUUGUAUUUCUUUGUAAUUUUGUGUUGUACAAAGAUUAAUUUAACAUUUUCUCUGGAAGUAUUAAUUUAGAAAGAUAAUAUGCUUCAUUGGUGUUGUGUUUUGAAGUGUGAAAUGCAAAGUAAUUGUGAUAAAGUCAAGAUAAAGUUCACUUUUAAACUGAACUAAAUAAGGUAUCUGAGAGACAACAAUGGUUAAAUGCAAUACAAUGUACAGGUUUUACUAGCGAAAUGAAAAUUUUCCUGUCCUGUCUGCUGUAAUCAUUUUAUAUCUGGAAAAUAGGAAAACCAGCCGACUUAAUCGAUAAUAACAAUCUCCAGAUUGGGUUCCUUCAAUAAAUAUGGGCUAUAAACACAAUGAAAUAAGUUCCCCAAAAUCUAAAAUGGAGUGGUAUCAAAGGAGAAUUAAAGGAAAAAAUAUUCAUAUUGAAAUUAUUUAUAAGGCACUGGACUGUCUUAAAUUCUACAAUAAUACUAGGUGGGUAAAUGAUUUUAGACAUUUUUCAUUAAGAGUAGAUUAAGAUUAAGUAGAUUUUCAUUCAGUAGAUUUAAGACUUGUUUACACGGGUAGAGUAAUGAUGCAAGUACUUGAUAGAGUAGAGUAACUCUACCUGUAAAAAUGCUCAGCACAGUAGAAUAGCUGGUAGAGUGUAUAGUUGGAGUUAAAGUAGAGUGACUAGCAACCUAUGGCAAAGUAACUACUCUAUGACCACCACUACUGCCAAAAUGUCUACUCAGCUGCACACUCUACCCAUGGAACACGCUCAAUUACGGCAGAAUAGAGUAGGUAGGAGAGUACAUGGGGCGCUGUCAUUCUGGCUGGAAUUGUGUUUUGUGUAAAUAGUGAAAAUGAAGUUCACCGAAGAUGAAACUUUAAAACUUGUAGAGCUAUAAUACGGCGAAUACCAGUGUUUAUGGAAUUUAGGUAGUGUAUACUACAGAAAUAAAAGUUUGCAGCAAGCUGCGCAGGAUGAAAUCGUCGAAAGAAUGGCAAAGG